ACAAAAGAACCAAGUUAUGUUACAGCCUGAGUCUGAGUUUGACAAGCUCAUCUGGAUAACUCACCGUACGGCUGGCUUCUGCACCCUCGUACAAUCUUCACCGUCUUGGCAAUCAUGCGCUGAAACAGAAUGGGAGGGAAAAGCAAACAUUGGAGCAUGUUGGAGAGACGGAAAUCAGCUGCAACCUCCUUCUUAGACUUCUGUUUCAGCAGCAUGGACAUAAAAAAGCAGAGACAUGUUGAAUGAAUCCUCACAAAUACAAUCUUUAUUCUCAAACACAGCGAAAUAAUGUUAUCAAAUCAAGCAUGAUAUCUCACCUCAAGAAAGUCCAGAGUGAAGGGGUCUUCUUUCAGCAGAAGGCCGUACAGCGCCACCAGCUGGCUGAUCAGCCUCACUACUUUCUGCUUCGUGUAGAGAACGUAAGAAGAUUUCUCCUGAUCUGAACCCUCAGAGAGCUCUGCCUGGAUAUUGGUGCUGCAGUGCAGGACACAGCUGGCUGGAGGGCAUGAAGACUUUGUGAGUGAGCAGAAAGUCGCUCACGCAGGGAUCUGAAGGAAAACAAACAUCACAAACGACAGUGAGAACUAAGUAUCUGACAAAAUCUGAUCAUUGUGAAUCACUAAAAAUGGACUUGGGAAAGGCUCCAACCUAUGGCGUCAUUUCCAUUUGAGUCCAGCUUCACUGUGUCCAGCAGGUGUUCCAGGAUUUUCUCAGGUGUUCCUGACAUGACUGUGUACCUGCAAGCAGCACAAAAGAAGAGAUACAUGAGUGCA